rnacentral:misc_RNA from 1 species
GAUGAAGAACGUAGCGAAAUGCGAUAAGUAAUGUGAAUUGCAGAAUUCAGUGAAUCAUCGAAUCUUUGAACGCACAUUGCGCCCAUUAGUAUUCUAGUGGGCAUGCCUGUUCGAGCGUCAUUUCAACCCUUAAGCCUAGCUUAGUGUUGGGAGACUGCCUAAUACGCAGCUCCUCAAAACCAGUGGCGGAGUCUGUUCGUGCUCUGAGCGUAGUAAUUUUUUAUCUCGCUUCUGCAAGCCGGCCAGACGACAGCCAUAAACCGCACCCUCUCGGGGGGCACUUUUUUAAUGGUUGACCUCGGAUCAGGUAGGAAUACCCGCUGAACUUAAGCAUAUAAUAAGCGGAGGA